GCCAGCGUGGUGUAGUGGUUAAAACACUGGACUAUGAUUCUGGAGACCAGAGUUCAAAUCUUAGCUUGGCC